rnacentral:rRNA from 1 species
AUUGAACGCUGGCGGCAUGCCUUACACAUGCAAGUCGAACGGCAGCACGGGAGCAAUCCUGGUGGCGAGUGGCGAACGGGUGAGUAAAGUAUCGGAACGUGCCCAGUCGUGGGGGAUAACGUAGCGAAAGUUACGCUAAUACCGCAUACGAUCUAUGGAUGAAAGCGGGGGAUCGCAAGACCUCGCGCGAUUGGAGCGGCCGAUAUCAGAUUAGGUAGUUGGUGGGGUAAAGGCCCACCAAGCCGACGAUCUGUAGCUGGUCUGAGAGGACGACCAGCCACACUGGGACUGAGACACGGCCCAGACUCCUACGGGAGGCAGCAGUGGGGAAUUUUGGACAAUGGCGAAAGCCUGAUCCAGCCAUGCCGCGUGCAGGAUGAAGGCCUUCGGGUUGUAAACUGCUUUUGUACGGAACGAAAAGGACUGCCCUAAUACGGUGGUCCCAUGACGGCACCGUAAGAAUAAGCCCCGGCUAACUACGUGCCAGCAGCCGCAGUAA